UUAAACCGCAUAUUUUGUCGUUACAUUAACCCCAAGAGCGUAACGCUCAUCGAGGGGGUCUAUGACUUUAAUUGGAGACAGUGGUUCAGUCAAGUAAUCUCUGUGGUAGCGNAUUAUUUAUCUGGUCUGGAGGUAAAACCUUCUACACAUUUCACCACACGACAAGUACAGUGUUUCGGCUUUCCUUCUGGACAGCAUGCAACAGGUCUUCUAUUUUCCAUUCUAUUCCAUUUGCAGUUUUCUUGAUUUCUUUGCUUUAGUAUUCACAUCAAGAAAGUGGAAAGACCACGCAAAAAAGAAUGUUUAUGACUGAAUGCCUACCAUUGUUACUCCCACUCAAGAUCACUGACUCAGAGGACUGAUCUCCCUGUGUUAUUACGAUUCCAACCAUGCUAAGACACCGGAACUAGCGGGAACAAAUACACAAGAGGGCGAUGGUUAAAUUUAUUUUUAACUGAUCUUGUACGUGCUAAANAAAGUUUCAAGAAACGGAAUGUUGACGCCACUCCGACGAUGAAAAACCAAAUGAAUUUGUUCCACACGAAUAGUGAUUGUUCGGCCUUGCUUCGUGCGAUAUUUCGUGUUUUUAGAAUCGAUCGGCUUAGGUUCCUUUAUGAUUUNCCGANUNAAGUUNAUCNGAACAAAAUAAACNNNUAAUGUAAACACUGAAACAAAUAUACCUCGAUUAUCCCCGCCUUAUCUAAGGUUUUGGGGAUAAGGUGGAACCAAACUAAUUCAGAGCAAAUUUUGGACAAUUUUAUUCUCGCUCGCUUCGCAAAACUACUGCGUCAAUCUAACUGGAUUUUCCAAAUAAUGUGCUUUGAUUAUCCUACAUUCUAACAGUGCAUUCUAUUUUAAGAUUUUUAAAGUGUUUAGCCUAUUACGGCCAAAAAUCAAACAGUGUUAUUUUGAUAGUCAAAGAACAUUAUAAGAAAAAUCCAGUUAAAUUGACGCACUAGUUUUGCGAAGGGAGCGAAAAUAAAAUUGUCCAAAAUUCGCUCUGAAUUAGUUUNGUUCCACCUUAAGUUUUAAUAAUCCAUCUUCUUAAAAUCUGGAAUCAGUUCCCGAAAUUUGACCACAUGCAAUGAGCGUCUUUGAGUGCAAUCUGGGGUUUUUUUUGUUUUUUGUUUUUUGUUUUUUGUUUUCCAAAACGAGUAAUUUAGAGCAUCGCAAUCCUUUGGUUAAUUUUUUUUUAAAAUUUGGUUUGGUUUAAUUAACUGGGCUCUAAGUGUUGGUCAUUUUCGAACUAACAAUCUAAUAGUCUAGCGCAAUCCCUCNUUAAAUCAGGUUAAACACUGGGCUAAAUAAAAUAUUUUUGUCGGGAGCAAUUUCCCGAAGCUCCAGGAUAUUUGAUUAUUUCGUGGUUUGAAUGUCUUUCAGUUGGACCCACACAAAACAUCUUUCUCUUUGAUUACAAAUUUCAAAGAUAUUUUCAUUGUGGUUUGUUUUCCUGACUAGAAUUAACUUGAGUAAGAAAAUCCCAUGUCGAAGUCAUUUGUGGUGGGUUAACUCAUUAUUAAAUAUAAUCGCGGUCCACAUAUUCUCAUAUUAAAGUUAAUCACUCAUUUA
rnacentral:lncRNA from 1 species